CGGGUGAGUAACACGUGGGCAAUCUGCCCUUCACUCUGGGACAAGCCCUGGAAACGGGGUCUAAUACCGGAUAACACUCCCCGAGGCAUCUCGGGGGGUUGAAAGCUCCGGCGGUGAAGGAUGAGCCCGCGGCCUAUCAGCUUGUUGGUGAGGUAGAAGCUCACCAAGGCGACGACGGGUAGCCGGCCUGAGAGGGCGACCGGCCACACUGGGACUGAGACACGGCCCAGACUCCUACGGGAGGCAGCAGUGGGGAAUAUUGCACAAUGGGCGAAAGCCUGAUGCAGCGACGCCGCGUGAGGGAUGACGGCCUUCGGGUUGUAAACCUCUUUCAGCAGGGAAGAAGCGAAAGUGACGGUACCUGCAGAAGAAGCGCCGGCUAACUACGUGCCAGCAGCCGCGGUAAUACGUAGGGCGCAAGCGUUGUCCGGAAUUAUUGGGCGUAAAGAGCUCGUAGGCGGUCUGUCACGUCGGAUGUGAAAGCCCGGGGCUUAACCCCGGGUCUGCAUUCGAUACGGGCAGACUAGAGUGUGGUAGGGGAGAUCGGAAUUCCUGGUGUAGCGGUGAAAUGCGCAGAUAUCAGGAGGAACACCGGUGGCGAAGGCGGAUCUCUGGGCCAUUACUGACGCUGAGGAGCGAAAGCGUGGGGAGCGAACAGGAUUAGAUACCCUGGUAGUCCACGCCGUAAACGGUGGGAACUAGGUGUUGGCGACAUUCCACGUCGUCGGUGCCGCAGCUAACGCAUUAAGUUCCCCGCCUGGGGAGUACGGCCGCAAGGCUAAAACUCAAAGGAAUUGACGGGGGCCCGCACAAGCAGCGGAGCAUGUGGCUUAAUUCGACGCAACGCGAAGAACCUUACCAAGGCUUGACAUCGCCCGGAAAGCAUCAGAGAUGGUGCCCCCCUUGUGGUCGGGUGACAGGUGGUGCAUGGCUGUCGUCAGCUCNNGNCGUGAGAUGUUGGGUUAAGUCCCGCAACGAGCGCAACCCUUUGUUCUGGGGUUGCCAGCAUGGCCCUUCCGGGGUGAUGGGGGACUCACAAGGAGACUGGCCGGGGUCAACUCCGGAAGGAAGG
rnacentral:rRNA from 1 species